CUGCAGGGGUUGCAAAGACAGGGUGCGGGUGGCCGCGGUGCUCCCCCGCAGGGGGCUACAGCUCAGCACCUGCCGCGCCCCAGGGCUGUGUUCUGAAAGGCCCAGGUGCGGCCCCGUGCCCAGGGAAGGCUACACUUCUCCCUCUCAAAAGAGAUUUUCAACAGUUCAGAAGAAUCUACAAAAAUUCAGAAACAGAAUAUAAUCCUUAUUCUGACACCAGAUUUGAGGAAAGAGACAAAAAAAGGGAUCAGUAACUUUUUAUGGUACAUAUGAAGAGACUAUAGAUCGCUCUAAAGCCUUUACUAUCACUUGGAAUGACAUGGAAGAAGCUAGGCCAGGAAAAUUACAGUCCUGCAAACAGAAAGUUAUUUUGUUUGAAAAAGUAUGGUCUCUGGAUCACCAGCUGUCUGCAUCAAGACACAAUGAGUGUACGAAACAUCUGCAGUUCACUGGCUUUCCAGUGACACCAUUAAUUUGAAAAGUGGAGGAGAAACAGCAACACCUUUCAGCUGAAUGAGGGCAAUAGCCCUUUCUUCUCUUCAAAGGGAUGUAGUUCAUUAAUAUUUAUAAAGCACUUUGAGUUGGUCAGAGAGAAGGUGCUAUGGAAAUACAAAUAUUACUUGGAGUGCUUUUCAUGCCUUGUCUAGACUAGGAUUUAAAAGUGCAGUGUUUGCCUGUGUUAUCCAACAUGUUCCAACACAUUGAUAUUUUGCCUUAAGACAUGCUAAAUUGGUCAGGUUGAAGACCAGGUUCCUCUCUAGGCUUUAAAUCAACCAG